GGUAUCAUAGCAUAGUGGUCAUGCAGCAUACUGUUAAUAUGUGGCUUUAUUGCCUACGAAAGUUCGAUUCUUUCUGAUACCU
rnacentral:tRNA from 1 species